UUUUCUGACGUUUUUUGAAAAACGUCGUGAAAUCUCUUAUAAUUUUUACUUUUUGAGCAAAUUUAAUUAUCCCAUCUUGUUUUGUGUGCCGUUAUUACAAAAUUGUGAAAUAACAUUUAUUUGUGAGGGAAGAGGCAAGACUUCUCUGAUCAAAGCAGAGGCGUGACUUCAGAGAACAGAGCGUGACUUUUGAGAGAGAGAGAGAGAGAGUCAGAGAGAGAAAUCAAGGCCUUGGAUCUUCCAUCUCCAUCGAUUCUUUGGUUGUAUGAUCUGGAAACUCUUGUUCUACACUUGAUUUGAAUGUUUGUCUGUAAUAUCGUUUGAAUCCCUCUUAUCUAAGUCGAUCUAGGGCUCAAGGUUAGAGUUUUUUUAUAUGGAUUUACUACAUUCACACAAGAUCCGUAGACUUUCAUGGCUUAAACUAACGAUUUAUAGUUAAUUUCUAGUUUCUUUUCUUCUGUUUUGUAUUUUCUUUUUUCGAAUCGAUUUAUCUAGGUUUUGAGUGCCAUGUUAAUGUAUCUAAUCAUGUACAAGAUAAGCAAGCAGUGUUGGAUCUGGAUCGUUAGCAACAAUGAGUAGAAGCAAGCACAACGACGUAGAGAUGUAGAUCUUAUUCUCAGAUCUGCUCUCUAUCCGAUCAGAUCUGCUCUCUCUGUCUCUCCGACCUGCUAUUAUGAAAAUGUCAAAACAGUUUCUAAAAUUGGUGCUGGUGACUAGUUCGUUGGUGCUCUCCUAUGCAUGUUGAUGAUGACCGAUUUGUAGUUGAGAUUAUUGAUGAAAAGUCUUCGAUUAAAAAGUAUCAAAGAGAAAUAUCAAGCCUCAAACUAGAACUGGAUCAGUCAUGAGGAGAUUAUUAGCUUAAGACAACAGUUGGAAGAAGGUCAAGUGAAAAUGCAGUCAAGAUUAGAGGAAGAGGAGGAAGCCAAGGCUGCUCUAAUGAGUAGAAUACAAAGGCUAA